GUCUGGAUUACCCUUUUAACAUAGGGAGAGCACAAAUUAAUGAAUUGCAACAAAAAUAGAUAGUAUGAUAGAUAUGAUAUAUACAGAGAUUAAUUUGCUCAGAGAGACACAGAAAGUCUCAUGCACAAAGAGAAACAGACACUCAUGCACAGUUAAACGCAUACAUACACACACAUGAUGAAAGGGUUUUUUUUUGGAUGUAGG